rnacentral:tRNA from 1 species
UCUCUGGUGGCUUAGUUGGUAAAGAAUCUGCCUGCAAUGCAGGAGACCUGGGUUCGAUCCCUGGGUUGGGAA